GAUGAACGCUGGCGGCGUGCCUAAUACAUGCAAGUCGAGCGAACAGACGAUGAGCUUUUUCUCUUAACGUUAGCGGGUGACGGGCGAGUAACGAGUAGAUCACCAUCUACUUUUUCUGGGGUAAUAUCGGGAGAAAGGAGAUGCUACUACAUCAUAUAUUCAACGGGAUGGAUCAGUAGUGCAUCAGGGCUUUGGUGAUUGAUUGAGAUGGUUUCGGGUUGGCUUAGUGAGUUGGUAAGGUAACGGCUUACCAAGGCAACGAUGCGUAGCCGACCUGAGAGGAUGAUCGGCCACACUGGAACUGAGACACGGUCCAGACUCCUACGGGAGGCAGCAGUAGGGAAUCUUGCGCAAUGGGCGAAAGCUUGACGCAGCCAUGCCGCGUGAGUGAAGAAGGUCUUCGGGUCGUAAAACUCUUUUAUUAGGGAAGAACAGAAGUGUAAGAAACUAUGCACGUCUUGACGGUACCUAAUGAAAAAGCCCCGGCUAACUACGUG
rnacentral:rRNA from 1 species